rnacentral:rRNA from 1 species
GAUGAACGCUAGCUACAGGCUUAACACAUGCAAGUCGCGGGGCAGCAUGGGGGUUGCUUGCAACCCCUGAUGGCGACCGGCGCACGGGUGAGUAACGCGUAUCCAACCUGCCCUUCACCACGGGAUAACCCGGCGAAAGUCGGACUAAUACCGUAUGUUGUCCAUUGACGGCAUCCGAUUUGGACGAAAGGCUUGGCGUUGAAAGGAUGGGGAUGCGUCCGAUUAGCUUGACGGCGGGGUAACGGCCCACCGUGGCUACGAUCGGUAGGGGUUCUGAGAGGAAGGUCCCCCACACUGGAACUGAGACACGGUCCAGACUCCUACGGGAGGCAGCAGUGAGGAAUAUUGGUCAAUGGGCGUAAGCCUGAACCAGCCAAGUAGCGUGCAGGAUGACGGCCCUAUGGGUUGUAAACUGCUUUUAUGCGGGGAUAAAGUGGCCCACGUGUGGGCUUUUGCAGGUACCGCAUGAAUAAGGACCGGCUAAUUCCGUG